AGCUCCAAUAGCGUAUAUUAAAGUUGUUGCGGUUAAAAGCUCGUAGUUGGAUUUCUGCCGAGGACGACCGGUCCGCCCUCUGGGUGAGUAUCUGGCUUGGCCUGGGCAUCUUCUUGGAGAACGUUGCUGCACUUGACUGCGUGGCGCGGUAUCCAGGACAUUUACUUUGAGGAAAUUAGAGUGUUUCGAGCAGGCGCACGCCCUGAAUAUACUAGCAUGGAAUAAUAAUAUAGGACCUCGGUUCCAUUUUGUUGGUUUCUGGUGCCGUGGUAAUGAUUAAUAGGGAUAGUUGGGGGCAUUCGUAUUUAACUGUCAGAGGUGAAAUUCUUGGAUUUGUUAAAGACGAACUACUGCGAAAGCAUUUGCCAAGGAUGUUUUCAUUGAUCAAGAACGAAGUUAG
rnacentral:rRNA from 1 species